UGGGGGAUAUUGCACAAUGGGCGAAAGCCUGAUGCAGCGACGCCGCGUGGGGGAUGAAGGCUUUCGGGUUGUAAACCUCUUUCGCUAUCGAACAAGGCCCGCUUAGGGUGGGUUGAGGGUAGGUGGAGAAGAAGCGCCGGCUAACUACGUUCCAGCAGCCGCGGUAAUACGUAGGGCGCGAGCGUUGUCCGGAAUUAUUGGGCGUAAAGGGCUUGUAGGCGGCUUGUUGCGCCUGCUGUGAAAACGCGGGGCUUAACUUCGCGCGUGCAGGGGGUACGGGCAGGCUUGAGUGUGGUAGGGGUGACUGGAAUUCCAGGUGUAGCGGUGGAAUGCGCAGAUAUCUGGAGGAACACCGAUGGCGAAGGCAGGUCAAUGGGCCAUUACUGACGCUGAGGAGCGAAAGCAUGGGUAGCGAACAGG
rnacentral:rRNA from 1 species